ensembl:lncRNA
CCCUGCCGCGGGACGCAGAUAGACCCUUCUCCAACACUGAGGGAGCUGGAAAUUUAACUCCUUAGCAAAGGUAAAAGCUUGACCAUCUGAUAUAAUUGGAAUUCAUCCACGAUUCAGAUAAGUGGAAUAGCGAUGUUUUAAUUAAUACAAAAAAACUACGUACUUCCGCUUUAACCUACAACUAGUCUCGCGAGGCUAAACCUCUCGUCAGGCCUGGUUUAAGAGGCUCCCUAACCGAAAACGAGUAGAAAAAGUAAGAAAAUUAUAAUUUCGUUUGCCUGUUUAUUGUAGAAUAAGGAUUAGCCACUCUAUACACUGACCCGCCAAUUUCUGUAAAUUCUCCUUAUCUUGAAAUAACAGAAAAACGGAGAACUAGCGCUGAACUGGUUCGCCGUCACCCUGUUUACCUUGGAAUAAUUGAACGAAUCCUACACUGAAAGAUCGUUGAGGCACGCGAAGAAUGGGAGACGGCACUUGGGAAAGAAAUCUGCUUACGUUGCAGAUGGAGGACAAACCCAGCCUGCUACUCUCCUUCCACACUGAGCCUAAAGAAGAGUCACUAGAUUCUUAUUGGGACAGUGGAGCUCAGUGUUCAUUGGUGGAUUCAGAAAUGAAAUCAGAGAAGCUAGAAAACUGCAGUCAAACACUGGGGCCAAAUGACAUUAAAUAUGAAGAGAAGAUUGGGGAUUUAACUAAUCAAGGUAAGUUCAUGAAGAGGGUUUUGUCCCAACCAACAUUUGUAUGUGGUUUAAGGGUCCAUUGCAGUGUUGGGUUCCGUCUUCUGUUCUAUCCACCAUCUCUGAUCACUUGAAACUGAGUAGACAAAGCUUUUGGUACUUGGAGUUCAUAGAGUAAUUUGUUUUAACAAGGUUCCCAGGGAAGUAAAACAGCCUCACAACAUAACAGGUCCACCACUAUACAAAGCCCUCCAAUAAUUUUGGGACUCGUGGUAUAAAUGUGCAAAACGGGCUGUGAACCUUUAUUUUUUUAAUUAUUUUUGUCAUUUAUUUGAAAUAUGAAAAGGUAAAUUAUUGCGAUAAAUGUCAAAUAAUUGAAAUAUAAAUUUUUGACAUCUGUGCCACAAUUAUUGGCAUCCCUAGAAAUACCUAUGAGUAAUAUCUAUCUGAUGAGCCAAA